rnacentral:lncRNA from 1 species
AAAUCCCUUACUGCACCUUAAAGACUGAGAAAUCUACCCCUUAAAGACUGAGAAAUCUACCCUUGUGUGGGAUGAUCAGCUGCAAUCUUAACAUCAGAAAGAGGGUGCCCAUAACCUUGGGCGAGCCCUCCCCCGCCUUCCCCGCAAAGCCUUCGAUCAACCGAGUCGACACGUUUUCUCUUCCCCUUGCCUUUUGUCGUUGGAAAUCCCUCACGCCAGGGAAACCGGACGGGGUACUUGUGGCGCGCGCGCCCCCGCAAACCACCACCCCCCGCGAGACGCGCUCAGUCCCGCACCUCCUGCCCUCGCCAAAGGGCGCCUCCGUCACGAGCAACGGGCAAGGCUAUUUGGGGAGGGGGGCUAUGGAGGGAAGGGAGGCGCCCCAGUUAAGGCAGCCCCCCCGUUCCAUUUGCAGNCCGCCGCCUCGCUCGCCCCGGGCUGCCUCUUCGCCAGAAACUUUGGCGAGCCCAAGGGCAGCCGAGGCGCGCGCUCCCCGCGUCUCUUUAUUCACCAACCACCACCACCACCCCGAGCGGCUCCCUGAAAAGGCGAGAAAGGGAGAGAGAGAAAAAGAAGACGAGUCUCUUACCCGACAGGUGGAGAGCGUGAGAGGGACGGGAUGCGCCGCGCACUCGCGGCCGCCUCGAACCCCGCAGAGCGCCAACGACUUCGAGACCGGGCUCUCGCCCUCCCUCCUGCGUCCCCCGGUCGGUCUACCCGGCACGGCUCCUCCACAAAGCAGCGGCCGCGCCUUGGCGCUCCGCCUAGUACCGGAAUGUCCGAGCCGUCACCGCCGCUCCAGUUGCAGCUCCAGGUCCAGCGGCAGCAGCACCACCACCACCACCACUAUUAUCGCCGCCAGUCGCCGCCGCCACUUCGGGCUCCCCCGCCCGCUUCCAACUCCACGCCAAGAGCAGGCAGCUCCGGAGCGCGCCACUCAUUGGCUGGAGCCGGCCCGCCGCUGACUUCACUCCAGCCGCUCACGCCCACUUAGUGGAUUUCCUAGGCAGGGUUUUUAUUCUAGGGGCGCCCGCUAGCGCUGCCAAGCGAAGCCCCGUAAGGCUCCCCGGGACUGACCAGCCGCCCAGCCAUGCUCCCCGGGACUGACCAGUGGCUGGACCGUUUGCACGAAGGAGCCUCCCCUCCAACCCCGCCGCCUCCUCCUCCUCCUCCUCGCCGUUUCCCUCUGGCGAGCGCCAAUGAUGAGAGGUAUAGUAAUAAAAAUAUAAUAAAAGGGAGACA